rnacentral:rRNA from 1 species
UCAGAUUGAACGCUGGCGGCAUGCUUUACACAUGCAAGUCGGACGGCAGCACAGAGAAGCUUGCUUCUUGGGUGGCGAGUGGCGAACGGGUGAGUAACAUAUCGGAACGUACCGAGCAGUGGGGGAUAACUAAUCGAAAGAUUAGCUAAUACCGCAUAUAUUCUGAGGAAGAAAGCAGGGGACCAUUUGGCCUUGCGCUGUUUGAGCGGCCGAUAUCUGAUUAGCUAGUUGGUGGGGUAAAGGCCUACCAAGGCGACGAUCAGUAGCGGGUCUGAGAGGAUGAUCCGCCACACUGGGACUGAGACACGGCCCAGACUCCUACGGGAGGCAGCAGUGGGGAAUUUUGGACAAUGGGCGCAAGCCUGAUCCAGCCAUGCCGCGUGUCUGAAGAAGGCCUUCGGGUUGUAAAGGACUUUUGUCAGGGAAGAAAAGGGCGGGGUUAAUACCCCUGUCUGAUGACGGUACCUGAAGAAUAAGCACCGGCUAACUAC